GCGGCGCUCCCUUCCCCGCGCAUUCUCGCGACACACCUGCCACACUCCCUCCUACCACGACGCAUCACGGCGGAGGACUCGGGCUGCCGGAUCGUCUACAUCUGCCGGGACCCCAAGGACGCAUUUAUCUCCUCGUGGUUCUUCACCAAGAAAACCGUGGUGGCGGUCGCUGCGCGGGCACAAGCCGGCGAGGAGCCGCCGCCGUACACGUUUGUGGAGGCGUUCGAGCUCUUCUGUGAUGGCAUAUGUGUCAGCGGCCCGCAGUGGCAGCACGUGUUGAGCUACUGGGAGGCGAGCAGGAGGCAGCCGGAGAAGGUGCUCUUCCUCCGGUACGAGGAGAUGCUACGGAACCCUGCUAGCAACGUGAAGAAGCUGGCGGAGUUCAUGGGGUGCGCCUUCUCCGGCGAGGAGGAGGCAGCCGGGGUGGUGCACGACAUCGUGGAGCUGUGCAGCCUCGAGAGCCUCAAGAACAUGGACGUGAACAAGAGUGGCAGCCAUGGUCCGCUGGCGCACGAGUCCUUCUUUAGGAAGGGUGUGGCCGGGGAUUGGAGCAACCACAUCACGCCCGCCAUGGCGGAGAGGCUCGACAAGAUCGUCGAGGACGCGCUGCAAGGCUCGGGAUUGACCUUUGAUGUCGCAGCAGAGCGGUCUGCAUGA
rnacentral:rRNA from 1 species